rnacentral:rRNA from 1 species
GGUUUGAUCAUGGCUCAGAUUGAACGCUGGCGGAUGCUUUACACAUGCAGGUCGAACGGCAGCACGGACUUCGGUCUGGUGGCGAGUGGCGAACGGGUGAGUACAAUGUAUCGGAACGUGCCUAGUGGGUGGGAUAACUAGCACGCGCAAAGCGGUAGGCUAAUAUCAAAUACGCCCUUCGGGGGAAAGCGGGGACCUUCGGGCCUCGCACUAUUAGAGCGGCCGAUAUCGGAUUAGCCAGUUGGUGGGGUAACGUUCACCAAGGCGACGAUCCGUAGCUGGUUUGAGAGACGACCAGCCACUGGACUGAGAGGAGACACGGCCCAGACUCCCGCCGGAGGCAGUGGGGAAUUUUGACAAUGGGGGAAAUCCCUGAUCCAGCCAUCCCGCGUGUGCGAUGAAGGCCUUCGGGCUGUAAAGCACUUUGGCAGGAAAGAAACGGCACGAUAAUAACCGUGCAACUGACGGUACCCGCAGAAUAAGCACCGGCUAACCACGCGCCAGCAGCCGCGGUAAUACGUAGGGUGCAUGACCGGAAUUACUGGGCGAAGCGUGCGCAGGCGGUUCGGAAAGAGAUGUGAAACCUCAGGAGCUUAACUUUGGAACUGCAUUUUUUAACUACUGAUGAGGUGUCAGAGGGAGGUGGAAUUCCGCGUGUAGCAGUGAAUGUGCGUAGAUAUGCGGAGGAACACCGAUGGCGAAGCAGCCUCCUGGGGAUAACACUUGACGCCUAACAAAGCGUGGGAGCAAACAGGAUUAGAUAACUGGUGAACCACGCCCUAAACAGAUGUCAACUAGCUGUUGGGGCCUUCGCCUUGUAGCGUAGCUAACGCGUGUAAAGUUGGGACUGCCUGGGGAGCAUGGUCGCAAGAUUAAAAACUCAAAGGAAUUGACGGACCCGCACAAGGGUGGAUGAGAUGGGAUUAAUUCGAUGCAACGCGAAAACCUACUCUACCCCUUGACAUGUCUGGAAUCCCGGCAUUUGGGGGAGGCUUGUGCACAGAACCGGAACACAGGUGCUGCAUGGCUGUCAGUUCUGUGUCGUGGAGAUGUUGGGUUAAGUCCUGCAACGAGCGCAACCCGUCAUUAGUUGCUACGAAAGGGCACUCUAAUGAGACUGCCGGUGACAAACCGGAGGAAGGUGGGGGAUGACGUCAAGUCCCUGCGGCUUUGUGGGGAUUCACACGUCAUACAAUGGUCGGGAUAGAGGGGUCGCCAACCGGAGGGGAGCCAAUCCCAGAAACCCGAUCGUAGUCCGGAUCGUGGUCAGGAAUCUCUGACUAUGUAAGUCGAAUCGCUAGCACUGUGAUUCAGCAUGUCGCGGUGAAUACGUUCCCGGGUCUGGGCACACUGCCCGUCACACCAUGGAGUGGGUUUUACCAGAAGUAGUUAGGCCUAACCGUAAGGAAGGAUUACCACGGUAGGAUUCAGACUGGGGGAAGUCGUAAUACAAGGUAA